rnacentral:lncRNA from 1 species
GGAGGCCGCGGGGUCGAAUCGGAGCGUGAAGAGGGCGGACACGGCGAGGCUUUGUUCGUUUAAUCCCCGUCCCCGCCGGGAUCGGCGGGGUUUUGGCCUAAUCCACGUGGUUUUGACCCCGGUCGGGGUAGGAUCCCGACCUACCUUAUAUGCGUCUUCGGUUAAACCCGGCCGGGCUGAUAUCCCCAUCCAAAUCCACCCCAAACCGCAGGGAUUCCACCGGGUUUUCCCUAAGUCUCCCCACUCGUCUCAAGUCUUCUCGGCUCGAGAGAAAAAGGAGGAGAGGACGAGAGCGGCAGCGCCGCCGACGCCGGCGGGGAAGAACUGAGCGACGGCCAGGGCCGGAGCGGGCGAUCUCUCUCCUCCACUGAAGACCGGCUGUUGCGGCAUCCUUCUACCCCGCCCCCCUCCCUCCGAUCUGCUCGCCGAUCUGCGACCCUCUUCUUCCAUCCUCGGCGCGAGCUCGGCGGCCACAACAGCCUACUCCGGUAUCCCUCCCCAACGUUUCUACGUCGAUAAGAUCUUCUACCCACCCUUUGUUUCCUCCCUCUUCCCCGGUUCCCCCUUUUGAUUUCUAGGGUUUCCCAUCCCCUUGUUCCAUCGGUGACAAGGGCCGUCUUGCCAGCGAGGCUCCACAUCUCCUCUCUACUUACUGCAGCUGCCCACUACCCUUCUCUGUACUUGCUCCACGCAUGAUUUGGUGUGUGCAAAUCUCUGUUUUCGAGUCGAACGACUAGUCGCGACUAGUCGUCGACUAGUCGACAAGUCGUUACAUGAAGGUCGACUCAACCUGUCGACUCGAAUCAUUGGAUGAGUCGAUCGACUCGAUCGACUAGUCCCGACUAGUCUCGACUAGUCGCAGUUUUUGAGGCGAACGACUCGUUCAAUCUGUCAUGAAAGAGAAGUUGGGCAGAGAAAAUGGAGCAGGGAAGGAGGGGUGGCUCCAGGGAAGGAUGGGGGAGGCGGAGAGGAAGGGGUGGAGGCAGAGAAGCCAUGGAGGAGGAGCUGCAGCAAGGCCAUUGCGGCUGUCGAUUCGUGCCUGGGGGCUGGAAGGGGAGCAGGUGAGAGAGAGAGUUAAGACGAGAGUGGAUGGACGGUGAAGAUUAGAGAAUAUGGAUGGUCCUGAUUGAGCUAGGCAGGCUAGGGUUUCAUUGGGCCUUACUGGGCUAAUAUUGCCGUGUGGGCCAGUAUUGAAGGAAGAUUGGAGCGUCUGGAAACCUAGAUCGAACAGUUCCAGCCCCCCUCCCCCGACCCAGCCCUCUUCUGCAGCAGCCGCCGCCCUGGCUUGCUGCUCGUCCCCUUCUCCCCUGGUUGCUGCUGCCUGCUGCUCAUCCCUUGGUUGCCGCUCUUGUUGGGCUGCUCCUCCCAUCUCCUGAUGGCCUUGUCUUGGUUGGUUGCUGCGACUCCUCCCUUGGUUGCCGCUGGCUGCUGCUGGUCUGCUGCUGGUCUGCUCCCUACUACUUAACUCACGUCGACUCGUCGACCAUGAGUCUAGACUAGUCACGACUAGUCUAGAGUCGCCCCCCCUGAGCGACUCGUCGACUCAUCGACUCGAAAACCUUGGUGCAAAUAGUGUACCUAGUUGAAUCUAACCAAAUCUGCUACAUAGUCGAACCUUUUUGUCAAUGACAUUAGCAGUGCACAUAUAUGCUACUCCUUUGACAAAAUAUAUACUCCGGAGUAGUAUUUAUUUGUCCCUGAGAUUAUGCCUGUUUUCCUAGGCUGGGAAACUUGGGCCGGUUCCAGCUAGCCCAUAUGGCUGGCGACCAGAGAAGCCAGCGAUCACUGCAGAACACAGCUGGCUCGCUGUGUGGAGUUCGAAGCUGGGAUGAGAAGUUGGAAUUGUGGAGUUUCUGGAGUUGGUAGGAGAUCAGAACAGGCCCUAUAUAUGUAGCUACUUAUAGAGAAUGAAUGAGAUGCAGCUGUAGCUAUAUAGUUUUGUCAAUGAUAUUUUUUGGAGGUAAAAAAAUUGAGUUUUAUGUAACUGAGGUGCAGAUCAACUACAUGAUUUUUUUCUGAUAGUGGAGGUGAAGAGAAAUUUAGGUAAAAUGCUCUGAGAUCAAGGCAUCUUGAAGCCAUGUAACUCUGAUAGUGCAUUUUACUAAUUUAGAUGCAGAAAGCAAUGCAACAUAGAUGCAGAAAGUAGAACUCCUUUGCAAAUUACUAAUUUUCCAUGUGAAGUUUGAAGUGCAAUGAAGGAACCAAGAAAGUUGCAAAGAACCUUAGACGGCAGUCACGACGCAUUCACAAAGCUAUUAGCUGUUUAACUGAACAUUUUCAGACAUGUGUUUUUUUUUAACUUUCUGACGAAGAUUAUUUGAUUCUUGUAUAUUAUAUUGGUGUUAACUGAUUGGAAUCUCAUGUGUUUUCGACCAUACCUCUUUCAGGUAUUGAUUCCAAGGAACAAGAUCUAUAAUUCUUAACAGGUGAAGAUUUAGUUGACACUAUACUUUUUGUUCGUAUUUAAGCUGAUUUAUUUACCAAAAAUUAUCUACGUGGCUACGUCUACGUACGAAGCAAUAGAAAACAGGCUAUCUUUUGUUCCUGCAUGUGUAUGCUUCUCAGUUCUCUCAAGGCAGAGGCUGAAUGUUUUACUUGUCAGAAGGCUGUAAACUGAGAGUCAUGUACAGUCCUGCUAUAGGCUACUUUGGAUGUCAUGCACAGUUUUGCUAUUACCAAAUUAAAAAUAUUCAUUGUUGGACUGCAAUAACUGUUUCAUACUACUUUGGAUGUCUAAAUAUCAUCAUAGUAAGAAUGUGGUUGUCAUUCCCUGACAGUUUCAUUGCUUGUUGCACGUUCUUAUAUCAUUUUUUUGUCAACUAUGUAGUCACACUCUAAAGGUGGAAAGUUAAGGACAACAGCUUUCCCUCUCUUUGAAGAUUUAGGAGAAUUGUACGAUGGUUACUUAUCAACUUCAUUCAUAUUCUCAUGUCAUUGUUUUAUGUUUGUUUACUCUUGCUUCCAUUUCUUGAUAUUGAUGUCGUUCAUCAUGCAAAUGCCCAGAAGUUUAUUAAUAUGAUCUGCAUGUGUCGCUUUCCUCUAGCUGGCAAAACAACAGAGUAAUCCUGAAGUAAAAACUUUAAGCUUAUUGGGAGAGAGGUAGAGAAAGUAGUUGUAGUUGUAGACUGUUUGUCUGCUGCUGCUUAAGUCAAAAAAUAUUCAGUUUAUGAUAUUCAACAUAAUCUGUAUGUUCCAUUAUUUGGCUGUUGUUGUUCUUGUUGGGUUGCAAGUAUAUGUCUUAGAUAACAAAUCAAAAAGAAAACCGAAGCUUCAUCUUUUAUUUCCUUGCAAGAUCGUCUAGACAUGAGACUGCUAGAAUAAUAAAACUUAAUCUUUUGUUUCCGUGAAAGAAAUGAUCAUCUUGGUGGCUCACAUUAACCUCCUAGUUGAUUUGCUAACUGAACAUUUUUUCCUUAAAAUACAUGAACGAAGGUUAAGUCAAGUCAGAGCUAGCAUUAUUAAUUUUUGGGGGACGCGUAGGGGGACGAAGAGGAUUAUUUAUAUGAUCUGACUAGUUUUUUCUCUUCAAAUUCUUAGGAUGGCCACCUAUGUUCUCCACAAGGGACAUGCUGUUUUCGGGACGGACCACCACCAUCACCACGAGGAGGGUCUGUCCCAAAUUCUUCAUGUGCGACCACCCAUUCGCCCGCCGCGGCCAGGGGGGGCAGGAAGGCCUGGGGG